rnacentral:rRNA from 1 species
AUUGAACGCUGGCGGCAGGCCUAACACAUGCAAGUCGAGCGGGGUUUUCGGACCUAGCGGCGGACGGGUGAGUAAUGCGUAGGAAGCUGCCCGAUAGAGGGGGAUACCAGUUGGAAACGACUGUUAAUACCGCAUAAUGCCUACGGACCAAAGUGUGGGACCUUCGGGCCACAUGCUAUCGGAUGCGCCUACGUGGGAUUAGCUAGUUGGUGGGGUAAUGGCUCACCAAGGCGACGAUCUCUAGCUGGUUUGAGAGGAUGAUCAGCCACGCUGGAACUGAGACACGGUCCAGACUCCUACGGGAGGCAGCAGUGGGGAAUAUUGGACAAUGGGCGCAAGCCUGAUCCAGCCAUGCCGCGUGUGUGAAGAAGGCCUUCGGGUUGUAAAGCACUUUCAGCGAGGAGGAAGGGGUGUGUGUUAAUAGUACACACCUUUGACGUUACUCGCAGAAGAAGCACCGGCUAACUCUGUGCCAGCCGCCGCCGUAACAC